GACAGAGGUGCCGAGCGUUAGGCGGAAUCACUGGGCUUAAAAGCGUGUGUAGGCGGGCCGUUAAGUAUCUUGUGAAAUCCCCCGGCUCAACCGGGGGAAUGGCUGGAUAUACUGGCGGUCUUGAGCGAUCUAGGGGCAGAUGGAACAAGUGGUGGAGCGGUGAAAUGCGUAGAUAUCACUUGGAACGCCAAAGGUGAAAACAGUCUGCUGGGGAUCUGCUGACGCUGAGACACGAAAGCCAGGGGAGCGAACGGG
rnacentral:rRNA from 1 species